GGCGGACGGGUGAGUAACGCGUAGGAACCUACCUGGUAGCGGGGGACAACCUGGUGAAAACCAGGCUAAUACCGCAUACGCCCUACGGGGGAAGCAGGGGAUCUUCGGACCUUGCACUAUUGGAUGAGCCUAUGUCAGAUUAGCUUGUUGGUGGGGUAACGGCCUACCAAGGCGACGAUCUGUAGCUGGUCUGAGAGGACGAUCAGCCACACUGGGACUGAGACACGGCCCAG
rnacentral:rRNA from 1 species